rnacentral:rRNA from 1 species
AGAGUUUGAUCCUGGCUCAGAUUGAACGCUGGCGGCAUGCCUUACACAUGCAAGUCGAACGGCAGCACGGGGGCAACCCUGGUGGCGAGUGGCGAACGGGUGAGUAAUACAUCGGAACGUGUCCUGUAGUGGGGGAUAGCCCGGCGAAAGCCGGAUUAAUACCGCAUACGCUCUACGGAGGAAAGGGGGGGAUCGCAAGACCUCUCGCUACAGGGGCGGCCGAUGGCAGAUUAGCUAGUUGGUGGGGUAAAGGCCUACCAAGGCGACGAUCUGUAGCUGGUCUGAGAGGACGACCAGCCACACUGGGACUGAGACACGGCCCAGACUCCUACGGGAGGCAGCAGUGGGGAAUUUUGGACAAUGGGGGCAACCCUGAUCCAGCAAUGCCGCGUGUGUGAAGAAGGCCUUCGGGUUGUAAAGCACUUUUGUCCGG